rnacentral:tRNA from 2 species
GCCGUUGUGAUGGAAUUGGUAGACGUGCUAGACUCAAAAUCUUGUGAGGGCAACCUCGUGCCGGUUCGACCCCGGCCAACGGCACCA